AGCUAUAUUCAUCAAUACACCUGAUCAGCUGCAAGGCAACCCUAAGGAAACUCUCAAAAGCACAGAAAGUCAAGCAUUUCCAACGCGCAGGCGCAGAGCGAAAGGAUUAUGUUAUAGUUGGAGCUAAGGUUACCACUUCAGGCAGGUGAAAUGUACAUUAAAUAUGGCAUUGUGGCAGCCCUGAUGAAUCAUUUUCUUAGGUUAGGCAAGCAAUAACGCUGCACUUUCAUGAGGUGGUAAUGGGGCGGGCGGAGGGCGGAAGGAGAAACUCACCGCUUUGACUCACUUCCUGUGCGCCGGAGGAUUCGCCAGACAGCAUGACUGCGAAUAGGGACAAAGGCUCAAAUUAAAAGAAAACUAGGGAUAUCCCUAAUACAAUAAUAGAUACAGUGAUAAGUACAAAUUUGCUUUUUCUGGGAAUCUUUAAAUCGGACCCUUGGAAAGUAAAACUGUAACUGUAGAUAUUUUGAGCACUCCCUAAAUUUGGGACUUAACAUCUGUUGUUACGUUCGAUUGGGCACACACCCACUUACACAGAUUAAGAUACUAUAAAAGAAUGAACUAAAACUGAA